GGCGGCAUGGCUCAGGAGGUAGAGCGGGUGGCCUAGGAAUCCAACGGUUCUCGGUUCAAUCCUCGGCUCCUCCA